ensembl:lncRNA
UUCCCCCCCAAAGCCCCAGGGCAUGGUGGUAUAUUCUAGUUCUAAGUCCUUCUAGUUUUUCUAUGUGAGCUGCCACCACAGCACGGCUACUGACGGAUGGGUGGUGUGGUUCCUGGGUGCGGGAUCCGGGCCCCUGAAGCAGAGUGUGCCCAACUUUAACCACUAGGCCAUCAGGGCCGGCUGGCUCUAGUUGGUUGUUUUUAUAAGAAAUGCAAUGAGCCUCUCCAAGGGACAGACUUCGCAAAAAAAAAAGAGGGGUUUUCCACCAAGUCUCUUUCAUUCUUAUUCCAAAUAAUACCAAGUGCUAAUCGGAUGUUGGUGGCACUGGCUGGUCAGCUCUCUGCUGACCAGCGCGUCUUUUUAGACUGCUUCGAAGCUUGUAACCGUGAAGUCCUCCCCCACCUCUCCUGCUACCUACUGUCCUAGAAGAAGUUGGAAGAGACACCCACCCACAAGUAGGACCAAGGCGGCUGCCACUGCCUCUCUUCUCUGCUGGAACUAUGGCCAAGUGACAAGCAGGUGGCAUUUCUCACAAGCAUGCACUGGGGCCUGACACGGGUUGUCUUUCUGAGCCCAACUCCCAGUCACCGUCACAGACCAAUUUGUGGGUUGGUUGUCCACUCCUGUCAGUCACGCUUGGUGGGGAUGCCCUGUGGGUCAGGUGGUCUACAUGGGUUCACGGGGAAGGGUCUCCAAGUCCUCCUUAAGGGGCCCUGGGCUGGAGUUGGACGGGGUACCAGGAGCAGAGAAAGAAAAGACAUGGGGAGGGUCUUCUGAUGGAUUUGGUGACUGCAGAUGAGGGAUGGUGACAGGUAGGAGGAGUCAGUGACCCUGGAAGGCAGGACAGGUGCCCAGUCGCACUUUCGAGGAGCACAGGCAGGAAGAGCAGGCGAAGGUGCCGUUGGAGAGGGAGGAGGAAGCCCAGCUGAGGGGCCAGAGUUGGCCCAAGAAACAGCUCGGUGAAAGCCAGCACCUCAGGACUGGAGAGGAUGGUGAUUAUAACACGGCUGUGUUCCCUCGAAGCCAUGCAUCCUCUAGCAGUCACAUGACUUCUCUAGGCCUCGGUUUUCCCCUCUGUGAAAUGGAGUCGGUAAUGACACCUCCCCCUUGGACUGUUGAGAGAGCUACAAGAACUUCAAGUGCAGCUCCUGCCUGGAGAGCGGCCUGACUGUGCGUGGGUUGAACACAUCAGUGGUCCUGCAGAGGGAGACAAAUUCUGGCUGUGGAAGCACCAAGGGCAGGUGCUGGACGGGGAGGGCGAGGAAAGUUCCCAGGGGGAGCGCUGGAGCCAGCUGAAGCGGUUUAUCUUUUCCAGGACUGAUUACGCUCAGAGAGACAGAAGGAGGCAGGUGCAGAGCAUUUCGGAAUGGUCAGGGGAUUCCAGGAAGAGGUGGCUAAAUCGGGUGGGUGGGCCGUGUGGCCCUGCCCUGGGGCCACUCCGUUGCAGACUGUAAUGUGCAAAGGAGGCUUUAGAGAGGCGGGGCUGGUGUUCCAGGCAAGCUGAGGUCUCUGCAGAUGGUGCUCCUGGGAGAAACAUCCCGGGGGUGCCGGGCCUGACACUGGGACUGCUGUCUGGAGGCGUGAAUGCAUACACGCUCUGGCUGGCCAGGGCCUACGACCCCAGAGCACGCGGGGAGCACGACCGACCGCCACCGUCCUUCCUGCCGCAGUGAGAACUCACAUUCAGCCUGGGAAAGGCAUGAACCCGUGGUGGGCCGGUGCCUCUUGGAAAAGGGAGCCCCUGGGGAGUAUGGACAUCCCGCUCUCAGUCACCGGGAAGUGCUGGGCCCCGGAGCCACAGAGGCAGGAAGGCAGGCCUCAGGCGGCCAGCUGGGGUUCCCGACAGCGAACUCAUAGAUUAAAACCUACUUAUGAGUUUCGAUCCAUCGCGAUAAGUGUCUUUAUCCCAGCGCAGGUUCUGCCACCUCUGCCAUACGUGGAGCUCCGCAAGUUCGACUCACUAACUCCUUUCAGGAGUGGCCGGCAGGACAGCAUCCGCAGCCCGUCUCUCCAGGGAAGGAGGAUGGUGCUGUGAGCUCCCUCGAGGCAGAGGACCAAGACGAAGGCUGCGGGUUGGAGCAGCGAGGCGGGCUCCUGUGCGGGAGAGCCGAUGCAGAACCAGAGCGGCGUGGCACGCGGUAAACUUGCUCCCCGGGUCGAGGCCUCAGGACGACGUUAUUCCAUCCAUUC